AUUGAACGCUGGCGGCAGGCCUAACACAUGCAAGUCGAACGAGUGGCGGACGGGUGAGUAAUGUCUGGGAAACUGCCCGAUGGAGGGGGAUAACUACUGGAAACGGUAGCUAAUACCGCAUACCAUCGGAUGUGCCCAGAUGGGAUUAGCUAGUAGGUGGGGUAACGGCUCACCUCGGCGACGAUCCCUAGCUCGUCUGAGAGGAUGACCAGACAAACUGGAACGGAAAGAUGGUCCGAAGGCCUACGGGAGGCAGCAGUGGGGAAUAUUGAACAAUGGGCGCAAGCCUGAUGCAGCCAUGCCGCGUGUAUGAAGAAGGCCUUAGGGUUGUAAAGUACUUUCAGCGAGGAGGCGUUACUCGCAGAAGAAGCACCGGCUAACUCCGUGCCAGCAGCCGCGGUAAUAC
rnacentral:rRNA from 1 species